rnacentral:lncRNA from 1 species
AUGAGGUCCCAGAGAACCUCUGUAAAAUAAAAAUGUAAACAUAUAUUUAAGUUGUACGAAAAAUGGAUAUCGACAUGACUUGCCUUGUUUUAACAGGUCGAUUACAGGUCACUUCCAUUCACAUAGAUAUAGAAAGUAAUUUAAAUGCUAAAAUUGAUGGAAAAUGGGUAAUAUGGAAAAACAAUAUAUAUUUAAUUAAAGAAACAGGGAAUGUUAAGAGGCAAAUCGAAACACCCGGAGAAUGUUGCUCCACACCUAUUCACGGGUGAUAUUUUCACACAAUUAUGAAUCUAUUUUAUUAUUGUUUUAACUGUGCUGGG